UACGAAGGGUGCAAGCGUUACUCGGAAUUACUGGGCGUAAAGCGUGCGUAGGUGGUGAGUUAAGUCUGAUGUGAAAUCCCCGGGCUCAACCUGGGAAUGGCAUUGGAUACUGGCUCGCUGGAGCGCGGUAGAGGGUGGUGGAAUUCCCGGUGUAGCAGUGAAAUGCGUAGAGAUCGGGAGGAACAUCUGUGGCGAAGGCGGCCACCUGGACCAGCACUGACACUGAGGCACGAAAGCGUGGGGAGCAAACAGG
rnacentral:rRNA from 1 species